rnacentral:rRNA from 1 species
UAAAGCGUGCGCAGGCGGUUAUAUAAGACAGAUGUGAAAUCCCCGGGCUCAACCUGGGAACUGCAUUUGUGACUGUAUAGCUGGAGUGCGGCAGAGGGGGAUGGAAUUCCGCGUGUAGCAGUGAAAUGCGUAGAUAUGCGGAGGAACACCGAUGGCGAAGGCAAUCCCCUGGGCCUGCACUGACGCUCAUGCACGAAAGCGUGGGGAGCAAACAGGAUUAGAUACCGUGU